rnacentral:lncRNA from 1 species
AUAAACGAUUUUUCUUGUUGCAGGGGAUUGCAGUGGCAAAGCUAGGCUAGGUCUUGGAGGCUGGUGUAAGGCGAUGUGGGUGAAGGCAGGAGGCUGAUGGAAAGACUGGGGGGAAGAAAAGCCGAAAUGGAUUCACGGUGCCUUGGAUGAAGGACGAGAGGGGAACUGCAAGCUCCUUCAACUGGUUCUGUCCGGUGAGAAGUGAUCAAGCUUGGGCUGACAAGAGGCUCAGGGAGCCCUCACGUUCUUUCGCUUUUUUACCUGCCAAUCAAACUGCUACAAGACAACACCCUGAUCUGGCAUGGACAUAGUCUUGCUGUGAUGCCCAGGCUGCUGGAGUGCAAUGGUGUGAUCUCUGCUCACUGCAACCUUUGAUUCCUGGGUUCAAGAGAUUCUCCUGCCUCAGCCUCCGAGUAGCUGGGACUACAGGCAUGUGUCACCACACCCGGCUAAUUUUUGUAUUUUUAGCAGAGACAGGGUUUCACCAUAUUGGCCAGACUGGUCCUGAACUCCUGACCUCAAGUGAUCUGCCUGCCUCGGGCUCCCAAAGUGCUGGGAUCACAGGCGUGAGCCACCGCACCUGGCUUCUUACUCCUUUUAACAACUUGAUGAGUCUCAAUACCUUCACAGAGGUGAAGAAGCAGCAACCAAAUGAAUUAGACAGCAACAUGAUUCCUAGAGAAUGGCAAGACCAAUUCUUCAACUACUUCUUCAGCAUUUCUGAAACAUAUGGAAGAUGGCCCAUUGUGCUCUCUUAAUUCUUUGAUAAUCUGGACAUUGACUUUUCCAUUAUAUGACCUGGGCUUGUGGGCAUCAUGUCAUAAUGCACCUGUUCAGACAUCUCCCUGUACCAAUAUGGAUCACUUGAAGAGACUCCUUUGCCCCCAUCAAAAAGGAUACAGUUGUGUAUCUCUUCCAUUUUUGUUUACAGUGCCUAAAAUUAUUUGAGCAGUUUUUCACCUCUUCUCUGAUAAACACCUUAUUAGUCCUUAAAAAGAAAAGAAAAAAGGAAAAUAAAACUUUUAUUGAGAUCCUA